GUGCCCUUGAGGUGUGGCUUCCGGAGCUAACGCGUUAAGUCGACCGCCUGGGGAGUACGACCGCAAGGUUAAAACUCAAAUGAAUUGACGGGGGCCCGCACAAGCGGUGGAGCAUGUGGUUUAAUUCGAUGCAACGCGAAGAACCUUACCUGGUCUUGACAUCCACGGAAGUUUUCAGAGAUGAGAAUGUGCCUUCGGGAACCGUGAGACAGGUGCUGCAUGGCUGUCGUCAGCUCGUGUUGUGAAAUGUUGGGUUAAGUCCCGCAACGAGCGCAACCCUUAUCCUUUGUUGCCAGCGGUCCGGCCGGGAACUCAAAGGAGACUGCCAGUGAUAAACUGGAGGAAGGUGGGGAUGACGUCAAGUCAUCAUGGCCCUUACGACCAGGGCUACACACGUGCUACAAUGGCGCAUACAAAGAGAAGCGACCUCGCGAGAGCAAGCGGACCUCAUAAAGUGCGUCGUAGUCCGGAUUGGAGUCUGCAACUCGACUCCAUGAAGUCGGAAUCGCUAGUAAUCGUGGAUCAGAAUGCCACGGUGAAUACGUUCCCGGGCCUUGUACACACCGCCCGUCACACCAUGGGAGUGGGUUGCAAAAGAAGUAGGUAGCUUAACCUUCGGGAGGGCGCUUACCACUUUGUGAUUCAUGACUGGGGUGAAGUCGUAACAAGGUAACCGUAGGGGAACCUGCGGUUGGAUCACCUCCUUACCUUAAAGAAGC
rnacentral:rRNA from 1 species